rnacentral:rRNA from 1 species
GAUGAACGCUGGCGGCGUGCCUAAUACAUGCAAGUCGAACGAGUUCGCGUUUAUGAUGGCGGUGCUUGCACCAAUAGAUUAAACAUUUGAACGAGUGGCGGACGGGUGAGUAACACGUGGGUAACCUGCCUAUCAGAGGGGGAUAACACUUGGAAACAGGUGCUAAUACCGCAUAACAAUAUCAAUCGCAUGAUAGAUAUUUGAAAGGCGCUUAUGGUGUCACUGAUAGAUGGACCCGCGGUGCAUUAGCUAGUCGGUGGGGUAACGGCCUACCGAGGCGAUGAUGCAUAGCCGACCUGAGAGGGUGAUCGGCCACAUUGGGACUGAGACACGGCCCAAACUCCUACGGGAGGCAGCAGUAGGGAAUCUUCGGCAAUGGACGCAAGUCUGACCGAGCAACGCCGCGUGAGUGAAGAAGGUUUUCGGAUCGUAAAGCUCUGUUGUUAGAGAAGAACAAGUAAGAUAGUAACUGAUCUUGCCUUGACGGUAUCUAACCAGAAAGCCACGGCUAACUACGUGCCAGCCGCCGCGGUAAAAC